rnacentral:tRNA from 1 species
GGGGGAUUAGCUCAGCUGGGAGAGCGCUAGAAUCGCACUCUAGAGGCCGUGGGUUCGAUCCCCAUAUCCUCCA